ensembl:snoRNA
AUCCUUUUGUGGUUCUUAUAUAAUCAUUAUGAUUGGAUGUUCACAAAUUUGUGUGAUAUGUUCCUUCCUUAACUCUUGUUAUGCAUUUGGCACAUUAUCCCUCUGAUG